rnacentral:snRNA from 1 species
GGAUGUGAUAGUGACCUGGCUGCAGCCUCUCUUCCUCCCCGAUAACCAGGGUGUAUUCAGUUGUUCUGACCAUCAGCUUCCCCCGUCCUCCUUUACCAUUCCAGGAGGGUCCCUCCUGAAGUUGCACUCAGAGUAGAAAAGAAUAGCCUUCUUAGAUAAAGGAGGCUGUUUCUUAGUAAGGGGGGUAAGCAGAGGUUUUGCUCCUCGAAACAACUGGGCUUAUGAGAGAACCAUCUCCAGGAAGCUCUGACUGACUGCUCCAUCUGG